ACGCUCGACACCUACGGGAAGCAGCAGUGGGGAAUAUUGCACAAUGGGGGAAACCCUGAUGCAGCGACGCCGCGUGGAGGAAGAAGGUCUUCGGAUUGUAAACUCCUGUUGUUGGGGAAAAAGAGGAUGGUACCCAACAAGGAAGUGACGGCUAACUACGUGCCGANAGCCGCCGGUAAGUACUGAGCGGGCGUGGCGAAGGACG
rnacentral:rRNA from 1 species